rnacentral:piRNA from 1 species
ACACUCAGUGAAUGCUGGCCAG